rnacentral:miRNA from 8 species
CAAUAAAUCACACUCUUCUCACA